rnacentral:tRNA from 1 species
GCGCCUGUAGCUCAGUUGGAUAGAGCGUCAGAUUGCGGAUCUGAAGGUCACAGGUUCAAGUCCUGUCAGGCGUACCA